AACCAAAGAUGAGACAAAACAACACCACCGGCCGCCACCGUUGAAAACCAAUUAGGAGUAGUUACCUUGCAAUUUUCAUGCUCCUUUCAUUGACUUGACACCCACAAGGCCACACCUACUUAAUUCCAUUUCAUGUUAUAAGAAAUUUCAUUGUUGAGGAGGAGUUCAAGCACCUAUCACUCCUAGAUGAAAAUGGUUGAUGCUUUAUCUAGUUCGUAUCCGGUGUUGAGUUGUUUUAUGGAUCUUCUUUUGCUUCUUUGCACUCCUAGAUUGGAUUCUCAAAUUGAUUCAAGUGAGAUGAUCAGGAAAGAAGAAGAAGAUGAAGAUGAUGGUGAGUCUCCCCAAGCAAUUGUUACAGCCCAAGAACACUUUAGGCAAGUUCAAUGUAUUCGUGGACCAUAGAUCAUAAGUUUCCAUUUGCUUUAAAGUCUUAUAGAUGAUUAUGGAUGAUGGAUGAUGGAUGAUGGAUGAUGGAUGAUCUUACUGGGAUAGUAUUUGUGUAGUUUAAUAGUUAUUUUUCCCACUUUUAAUGCAUCUAUUAUUUGAAUAUUUCUGAUUUGAGAAGGCAAGUAUAAGUUUGAUUUGUAAAACUUGUUUGGAGCUAUUGAUAACAGAGAUUGGAUGCUUAAAAGCUACAAUAUUACAUAUGGACUAGUCAUGCAGGUUCUUUUGAAUAUCUGUGUUAGAGGUAUGAGAUGAAGAAGUCUCUCUAUGUAUACUUCCAUUUUUUCCUUUCUUUUUUUUUUUUUUUUUUCUAUUCAAGUCUCUUUUGGAUUCGGCUCCUCUAUUGCCUGGUGUGGUGUGCAGUGUACAUUCGGCGGCUGUUAGCACUCAGGCACACAUCACAGCACACGGGUGGACAUCCAAGGGGUGCACAGCCUUUGGAUGUGUGCCACACACCAUAAGACGCCACAAAGGAGCCUCACUCAUCUCUUUUUUAUCUAUUUCUAUGUGACCAAACACAGUCAAUCUUAUAUAAGACUUUGCUUUUCAUCAUGACAAACAAACAUAGCCUAAUGUUCGGGGUUCAUAUUAUAAGGGGUUGAAUAGGUCAUUUUUUUGGGUAGAAAAAUAUGAUCAUAUAAGUGAAGGAAAUUUUUAAAAUAUAAGUAGAGAGUUGCUCUCAGUAUAGAUCCUUUCCAACAUGCCUAGCUCCCUAAUGUGUAUCGGAUGGCUGGGAAGACCCGAGCACACACCCCUAGAUCCACUCAACCAUUGAUGUCUAUGCACUGGGGGCGUGAGAGAGGAUCCUGAUGCGAGUCUCCCCACCCGAGCAAGGCUCCUCUAUUUUGCAAUAAAGAUGGCAAUGCAGAUCCAACGCCCUGAAACUCUUUGGGGCAUAGGCUCGUGUAUUCGAUUCCAUGCCAGGACACUCCAAGACGUUGGAUUUACGCUACCACCUCUAUCGCGCAAUAAUGGAGUUGGGUCACACUCACUCCCAAGUCCCAACCCCACCAAUCCCUGGAAUUAUGAGAAAUAGAAAUGAAAAAAUGGACUUCUUAUUUUAUCAUGUGAGCUGGAACCGGGUUACAAGAAUGCGACGUGGCAACUUUCAAUUGUUGAUGCGGCGUUGCAACAUCCGGACUAGUGAAGGAGGUGUGGUCCACUAGUCCAAUGGUCCAACCAACGUUUAAAUUGGAUUUCCCGCCAGAAAUAUUACUUCAGGAUCACUAAGCCGCCAUGUAUAAAAGGCGACUGGGAAUCGAGAUUCGAGAAAAUCGCCCAUUCUGUGUCCAUUCAAGCUUUAAAUCGGAUGCUCAAAUCUAGAUCUCCUGCUCGAAAGAAGCUGCAAUUGAUUGAAGAAGUUACGAUACAGUUCACAGUCGUCACAUUAUCUAUCUUCUGCAACUGUCGAAACAAGCUACAAUUGAUCGAAGAAGUUACGAAUUACUAUACAGUUCAGAAUCGUCGCAUUCUCAAUCUUCUGCAACUGUCGAAAGAAGUUGCGCUUGUCCGGAUCUCGAUCUAUCCUACAGUUUAGUUUAAAUGAAGUUAAAGAUCAAUAAAGCAUGUGAUUUGAGUUCGAUUUCAGUUUUUCCUCCUCACUCCAGGAGAGAAAAUUCAAAUCCAAGGCCUUUGGCAACGGAUUCGGCUUUGGCCAAAACUCAAGGCUAUCAGCUCCGAUCGCAGCAAUCACAGCAGUCGUUCUCGCAAGUUUCAUCCCAGAUUGGAAUGUCGUCUCAGCUCUCUCAGAAUUCUCUUGAUGAGAUUCUAAAUAAUGAACAGAGAAUUGGAUCUCAAGAAAGGAAGAGUUCCAUGAAGAGGGUUUCUUCCUUGCCGCCAAUUGCAUAUACACGAGAUGAAUCUCAGAUGGCAUUGUCAAUAUCUUCCAACAACCCUGCACGCAAAUUGAGCUCUGUUUCAAUUCCAGAUCACAGAUGUCAGGUUUCUGAAGAACUUGAGCAGCGGAUUGGAGUGAUGGAAACUUCACUGAGAAGGUUUGUAAGGGACCUGGAUGCUGUUCAGGGUGAUAUCAUGCAAGUGAGCAAAGCAAUUAAAGAAGUACCAGGAAGGGUCAUUGACUCUGUUCAUGGUGAUAUCAUGCAAGUGAACAAAGCUAUUAAAGAAGUAUCACUGGAAAUGGAAGGCAUAGGGCAGAAGUUGAUCAUUCAGGAUAACUCACUGAAGAAAAUGCUUAAGGGACAGGAUGAUAUCAAAGCCAGCCUCGACGAGAGCUUGAGCUCAAUUCAUGAUCAAUUGAAAAAAGAUUUGCACCAACACAAAUUACAAGAGACUGUUUCUGUGCUUUCUGCUAUACCAAACCAGAUUGAAGGACGAUUACUGAAGUUGCAAAAUGAACUUAAUGAAGCCUUCAGUAAAGAAGUGGAAGUGCGUAUGGCAAUGUCCAGUAGUAUAAAGGCUCCAAACCAGAGUUGUCAGAUACUCACCAGUCAACCACCAAAGAAGAAAGGCCGUCGAGCUGCUCAGUCUCAGAAAGAGCAACCAGUAACCGACACCCAAGAGAAUAUACCUCGUCCCAGUCCAGUGAUGCCUUCAAAGGUUAAAGCACAAGAAAAUCUGAACCCAAAGACAGAAACAGGAAGAUGGAAGUCUGUUAAACCACAAAAAGCAACUUCCUCUAUUAGAGAGGAAAAUACAGAGAAGAAACGGGAGGAAAAUCACCUCAUGGAACAGGCACAGGAAGCUAUUUGAUGGAGGAAACAAGACAAGAAACAGAGCAGAUUUUGAGGAAAGCCAGGAGAAGGCGAAAGAGAAAACUCCUAAAUCCCAUAAUUUUGAACUGAAGAAAAUUCAAAUCUGAGUAAUGCGUGCCACUUCAAAACAGAAAUGCUUCUGAAGCAUUCCUCGAUUAGAAUUUACCUACAGUGGGUGUCAUACUGCAAUUUGAUCUCAUUGGUUUGGUUCAUCUCAGUGAGUUUCUAAUUUUCUAUAAAAAGAUGGAAAUUGCAGUUAGGUGAGGAUUGAGAUUAAAUUGUAGCUCUUUUUUAGAAAGAUAAAGAAGAGAUAUUUUGUUGCCUA